UACGGAGGGUGCAAGCGUUAUCCGGAUUCACUGGGUUUAAAGCGUGCGCAGGCGGCUUCUCAAGUCAGGGGUGAAAGCCCAGAGCUCAACUCUGGAAUUGCCUUUGAGACUGAGUGGCUUGAGUACGAGAGAGGUGAGUGGAAUUCCCAGUGUAGAGGUGAAAUUCGUAGAUAUUGGGAAGAACACCGGUGGCGAAGGCGGCUCACUGGCUCGUAACUGACGCUCAUGCACGACAGCGUGGGGAUCAAACAGG
rnacentral:rRNA from 1 species